rnacentral:lncRNA from 1 species
UUGUCUUGUAGUAAAGUCAACUGAAAGACUGUAAUUGUAGAGGACGUAUUAUUAAUUAUUAUUAUUUAUCAUUAUUAUUUAAUAUUAUUAUUUAAUUAUUAUUAUUAAAGGCUCCUUUUUUUACAUAAAGGGCCGAGAAUUAAUUCCCAUUUAAUCAAGCUAAUUUAUAUUAACUGAACAAUAGAUGAGAUGAUGAUGAUAAUGAUGAUGAUAACUGACUGGCAUACGACAUUGUCCCGCGACGAGAGAUUCGAAUGGGAGAGCACUCGUAUUUUAUAUCACUUAUUUCCCUUUACACAAAUUCAGGAGGUCGCGGGCUGAUGGCUGUCAAAUUCCUUUGCGCGUCAUGACGUGAUGCAGUUCAUAAGAGGCGUCACAUGGUCACAUGACUUCCAUAGAUCUAAAACCACAUAAUUCGAACUGGAAAACUGCAGUCAAAUCAAUAUCAAAACACAAUUUAUUGGUUCCUGAAUAUCUUCUCAAGUAGUUGGAAACAUGAGCCAAAGACCCGAAGCUUCCCAGAGGAAGCGAAAGGCGAGACGGGGUGGUAGCAGCGAGGAUGAGGCUCACUGCUCACAUCAACAAGCACCUCUACCACGAGGACGUCCUCCAGCGAGACGACGACGAGGACGUCCUCCAGUGACACAAGCACGAGGACGUCCUCCAGCGACACAAGCACGAGGACGUCCUCCAGCGACACAAGCACGAGGACGUCCUCCAGUGACACAAGCACGAGGACGUCCUCCAGCGACACAAGCACGAGGACGUCCUCCAGCGACACAAGCACGAGGACGUCCUCCAGCGAGACGACGACGAGGACGUCCUCCAGCGACACAACCACGAGGACGUCCUACAGCAGCUCGCCACAAGGGCGUCCAAGUGUCUAGUUUUCCUAGCUAAGAACGAGAGAUAUUGCGCCCUGAUAUUAAGAUUUGGAACAAAAUAACCACAAGGAGCAAGAACUGGGAAUUGGAAAGUGCUGUAAAUAGUUUUAUUUGCGAAAACACACCCACGCAACCUCUCUCCACCCCGGUCCUCCCACAGAAACAUUGCCUUUCAGUACCUUCUACUUUGUACUUACUGGAAGUUUUAUUUCACGUGACUUUGCACCUGAUCGUUGGGGUGAGAGAAUAUCACAUCUAAUUAUUUUAUUUGCGAGCUCUGUGACUAACACACGGUUGACUGAGGCAGGUGUGAACACGCACAUGCGAGCGCGCCUCUUACAGCUUGAGAUGUCUUCUGUGAACUUCCGACUCCAACAUAAGUUUUAUUCUAAAAUUUGAUGAACGAGAUAAAACGAUGAUUGUACAGGCGCCACACCCUACAUACACUGACCUGGCGCUUAACCUACAGUACAUAGGAUUUCAGAGAGAGCGAGGGGUAGAAAGUCAUCCGUUCACAAACACUGUGGUACAUUAAAAUCGUGUGAGCAAAAUAUGUCCAGACCUGUACAACAACAACAACAGUGUCAAAAUCAGUUUGAAGUCUCCGCAUGCAAACCCAGCAUGUUGUUAUGAUUUAAAAUGUUUAUUUAUUUAGAAUCAUCCAUUCUUCACUUGGUUCGUGCAUUUUGAAUGUUUAUUUUUCUCUAAUGCAUCUUUUCUCAAUUAAUUUUAUCUCUAUCUUGUGAUGUUUAAGUCUCAAAAAAUAACUUCAAGUAGCCAUUAAUCUUCUGGAAGAUGAUAACAAAAUAAAUGUUCAUGAUGUGACCAGGUCCGGCACGUUAGCGUGAGUAGAGAUCGACUUAAAUGGUUGAAAUGAUGUCACUUUAUACCUGUACCCAAGUGGUAAAAUUUCCUGGAAAAUUUAAAAUAAUGAGAUAAGAAUUUUGUCUGUAAUUUUAUAGCAUUUGGCUAAUCAAGUAUUAUCAAUACAUAUAAAUACAAACUUAAUAUAACACAUUCUGUUUGCAUCACUUUUACAGUAGUAAAUAUGAACACCACAGGAAGAAUUCCAGUGGUUGUGACUGUGAUCUCCAGAUCGCGCGUCGGGAUUUAAAAAAAUUUGCCAUAAAGAUCCAUGCUAAUUUUGAGAGUGUAUUUUUUGUUUUUGUAUGACCAGAAAGUGACAGGUACAAAGCGCAGUAUGACACCUAUAUAUAUAUAUAUCUUCUUGGAUGUGAAUCCUAAUUCAAGAUAUUCGUGGCACCUUUGGAUGGUCUGCACCACUCUGUCUCGUAUGAACCCGAUAUCAAAAGAAGUUUGUAGGGUGAUAUGAUCUUAUUACUAUUUGCUUGUGCGAGCGUGUGACUAUAAAUUCAGUGAUCGGCGCGCGGUCGAAAUGAGUACUUGUGACCGAUUCUCACGCGCUUUGCUUGCAGU